rnacentral:rRNA from 1 species
AGCAGGCGAGAAAACUUUGCAAUGUGCGAAAGCACGACAAGGUUAAUCCGAGUGGUUUCUGCUAAAGGAACCUUUUGUCAGUCCUAGAAACACUGAUGAAUAAGGGGUGGGCAAGUUCUGGUGUCAGCCGCCGCGGUAAAACCAGCACCUCAAGUGGUCAGGAUGAUUAUUGGGCCUAAAGCAUCCGUAGCCGGCUCUGUAAGUUUUCGGUUAAAUCUGUACGCUCAACGUACAGGCUGCCGGGAAUACUGCAGAGCUAGGGAGUGGGAGAGGUAGACGGUACUCGGUAGGAAGGGGUAAAAUCCUUUGAUCUAUUGAUGACCACCUGUGGCGAAGGCGGUCUACCAGAACACGUCCGACGGCGAGGGAUGAAAGCUGGGGGAGCAAACCGGAUUAGAUACCCGGGUAGUCCCAGCUGUAAACUAUGCAAACUCAGUGAUGCAUUGGCUUGUGGCCAAUGCAGUGCUGCAGGGAAGCCGUUAAGUUUGCCGCCUGGGAAGUACGUACGCAAGUAUGAAACUUAAAGGAAUUGGCGGGGGAGCACCACAAGGGGUGAAGCCUGCGGUUCAAUUGGAGUCAACGCCAGAAAUCUUACCCGGAGAGACAGCAGAAUGAAGGUCAAGCUGAAGACUUUACCAGACAAGCUGAGAGGUGGUGCAUGGCCGUCGCCAGCUCGUGCCGUGAGAUGUCCUGUUAAGUCAGGUAACGAGCGAGAUCCCUGCCUCUAGUUGCCACCAUUACUCUCAGGAGUAGUGGGGCGAAUUAGCGGGACCGCCGCAGUUAAUGCGGAGGAAGGAAGGGGCCACGGCAGGUCAGUAUGCCCCGAAACUCUGGGGCCACACGCGGGCUGCAAUGGUAACGACAAUUGGUUUCAAAUCCGAAAGGAUGAGGUAAUCCUCAAACGUUACCACAGUUAUGACUGAGGGCUGCAACUCGCCCUCACGAAUAUGGAAUCCCUAGUAACUGCGUGUCAUUAUCGCGCGGUGAAUACGUCCCUGCUCCUUGCACACACCGCCCGUCGUUUCAUUGAAGUGAGCUUUUAGCGAGGUGACGUCUGAUUGGCGUUAUCGAACUUGAGGUUCGUGACAAGGGAAAAGUCGUAACAAGGUAACC